AUGUUUGUUGCUACAGUUGUUGUCUUAAGAGGUAUAGCAAGUGACCGUUCAGUAUCAAAAUAUUCUCGUGGAGAUGCCGUUGGAUCCCUUAAAAUUGUCAUAUCAUUUGAUUUCGUGUUCAUUCUACAUCUGAUGGAAAAGAUUAUGAAGAUCACUGAUGUGUUGUGUAAGAAACUCCAAUACAAAUCUUUGGAUAUUUUAAAUGCCAUGGAUUCUGUUUCUAACACAAAGGUCCUACUUGGUGAGCUAAGGGAACAUGGUUGGGACUCUCUUUUAGAGGAGGUCAAAUAUUUUUGUGUGAAGCACGAGAUUGAUAUCCCAGAUUUGGACCGCAAGUAUGUUGAUGUUACCAAAUCUCGAAAUAAGCAUGACAACACAACAACGCUCCACCACUACAAAGUCGAUGUUUUCAGUGUUGCAAUUGAUCAACAACUGAGUGAACUAAAUGAUCGAUUCAGUACACAAGCAACUGAGCUCCUUACUCUCUGUUCAUCAUUGGAUCCAAGGCAUGAAUCUUUUGAUAUCCCAAAGAUAAGCACUCUUGCAGAAAAAUUAUAUCCUGCUGAUUUUUCAAGUCAAGAAUUAGCUCAGUUGGAAAGUCAGCUACCUCAUUUUCAGCUAGAUGUGUGCAACCAUCCAGAACUGAUGACCUUGCCAUCUAUUGCUUGUUUAACAAAAGGGCUAUCUCAACGGCAACUGCAGAGCGGGAAAAUUGUCAAGACACGUCUUCGAAGUAAAAUGGGAGAUGAUUUGCUUCGCCAUUGCAUGAUAAUUUACAUAGAAAAAAAAUUAGCAGCUAAGAUAUCUUCUGAUGAAAUUAUUAAUAUUUUUGAUCUUAUUGGCAAUCGUAGAGGCCACUUUAAAUUAAUAGAAAUGUAA
rnacentral:rRNA from 1 species